ensembl:lncRNA
GCGGAAUUUCAGGCAAGCCUCCUAAACCAGCAAACCCAGGCCUUGGUAGCGGCCCUGCGGCCGGCAGCGGGCUCGGGGCCCCAAAACCCCCCUCCGGGGGCCUGCUUCAAGUGCGGCCAAGAAGGGCACUGGGCCAGGAUGUGCCCCAAUCCACGACCUCCUUCCAAGCCAUGCCCGUUGUGCAAACGACGAGGACACUGGGCUAGUGACUGUCCCCAGGCCUCUCGGGCCCCGACCUCUAGGGGCCGGGGACCAGAGCGCCCCAGGGAGACCUCCUGCCCUCCUUCGGCUUUGGAGCUGCUGAACUUCGACGGUGACUGACGACGCCCAGACUCGGGGACCCCAAUAACCCAAGCUGAGCCCAGGGUAACGCUCCAGAUAGCGGUGGGACGGAUCAUCAUUCUCCUGCUGCUCCUGACUUUUGGGCCCUGGAUCCUGGAUGGGCUUUUGGCCUUCAUCAAACAACGGCUCGACAUGGUCCAGCUGAUGGUACACCGACGGCAGUACCAAGGGCUUCCAACAAGCACUCCGUGGCAAGAUUAAUGGCAGACGCCCCCUGUCAUCCCGGCCAUACCCUACCCCUCGUCGCCCCCGUUCAGCAGGAAGUAGCCAGAGAGAAUCGGCGCCCCUUGUCCUAUAUCAAAAAGGCCGGGAUGAAAGGUCAGGGCGAGGUCAGGAUGAAGGGUCAGGGCAAGGUCAGGAUGAAAGGUCAGGGUGAGGUCAGGAUGAAGGGGCAGGGCGAGGUCAGGAUGAGAGGUCAGGGCAAGGUCAGGCGUGUUGAGGCAUGCCUGGGCAUGCCCGGGCAUGUCGCGACAUGUCCCGGCAGAGAGCGCUGCAGACAAGCCCCAGAGACGGGCCGGCAACCAAGCCGACCAAUCAGGAGCCGACACGGAGCCCUUGGACACCAAUCACCGCUGAGCCCGCGUUUUCUUCCUUAUAUGGGAGCCCCGGCCCGGGCUAUAAAACCCUUCCCCACCCUCGCAGACUCCGCAGACUCCCUUUACCCCGCAGACUCCCUUUACCCCGCAGACUCCCUUUACCCUGCAGACUCCCUUUGCUUCGCAGACCCCCCUCGCUCCCUUGCUCACCCGCCCCCGGGAGUUCUGCCCGAGAGCGACUGCCCAAUAAAAGGCCCUGAUCAACGGUC